UGGAUCCAGACUUUGAUCAUGGCUCAGGACGAACGCUGGCGGCGCGCCUAACACAUGCAAGUCGAACGAGCGAGAGAGAGUUUACUUUUUCGAGCGAGUGGCGAACGGGUGAGUAACGCGUGAGGAACCUGCCUCAAAGAGGGGGACAACAGUUGGAAACGACUGCUAAUACCGCAUAAGCCCACGGCUCGGCAUCGAGCAGAGGGAAAAGGAGCAAUCCGCUUUGAGAUGGCCUCGCGUCCGAUUAGCUAGUUGGUGAGGUAAUGGCCCACCAAGGCGACGAUCGGUAGCCGGACUGAGAGGUUGAACGGCCACAUUGGGACUGAGACACGGCCCAGACUCCUACGGGAGGCAGCAGUGGGGAAUAUUGCACAAUGGGGGAAACCCUGAUGCAGCGACGCCGCGUGGAGGAAGAAGGUCUUCGGAUUGUAAACUCCUGUUGUUGAGGAAGAUAAUGACGGUACUCAACAAGGAAGUGACGGCUAACUACGUGCCAGCAGCCGCGGUAAAACGUAGGUCACAAGCGUUGUCCGGAAUUACUGGGUGUAAAGGGAGCGCAGGCGGGAAGACAAGUUGGAAGUGAAAUCCAUGGGCUCAACCCAUGAACUGCUUUCAAAACUGUUUUUCUUGAGUAGUGCAGAGGUAGGCGGAAUUCCCGGUGUAGCGGUGGAAUGCGUAGAUAUCGGGAGGAACACCAGUGGCGAAGGCGGCCUACUGGGCACCAACUGACGCUGAGGCUCGAAAGUGUGGGUAGCAAACAGGAUUAGAUACCCUGGUAGUCCACACUGUAAACGAUGAUUACUAGGUGUUGGAGGAUUGACCCCUUCAGUGCCGCAGUUAACACAAUAAGUAAUCCACCUGGGGAGUACGACCGCAAGGUCAACUCAAAGGAAUUGACGGA
rnacentral:rRNA from 1 species